UAGUUGGUGGGGUAAAGGCCUACCAAGGCGACGAUCAGUAGCGGGUCUGAGAGGAUGAUCCGCCACACUGGGACUGAGACACGGCCCAGACUCCUACGGGAGGCAGCAGUGGGGAAUUUUGGACAAUGGGGGCAACCCUGAUCCAGCCAUUCCGCGUGAGUGAAGAAGGCCUUCGGGUUGUAAAGCUCUUUCAGCUGGAACGAAACGGUACGUCCUAAUACGGUGUGCUAAUGACGGUACCAGCAGAAGAAGCACCGGCUAACUACGUGCCAGCAGCCGCGGUAAUACGUAGGGUGCGAGCGUUAAUCGGAAUUACUGGGCGUAAAGCGUGCGCAGGCGGAUUGUUAAGCAAGAUGUGAAAUCCCCGGGCUUAACCUGGGAAUGGCAUUUUGAACUGGCAGUCUAGAGUGUGUCAGAGGGGGGUGGAAUUCCACGUGUAGCAGUGAAAUGCGUAGAGAUGUGGAGGAACACCAAUGGCGAAGGCAGCCCCCUGGGAUAACACUGACGCUCAUGUACGAAAGCGUGGGUAGCAAACAGGAUUAGAUACCCUGGUAGUCCACGCCCUAAACGAUGUCAACUGGUUGUUGGGGGAGUGAAAUCCCUUAGUAACGAAGCUAACGCGUGAAGUUGACCGCCUGGGGAGUACGGUCGCAAGAUUAAAACUCAAAGGAAUUGACGGGGACCCGCACAAGCGGUGGAUGAUGUGGAUUAAUUCGAUGCAACGCGAAAAACCUUACCUACCCUUGACAUGUCCAGGACCCUGCAGAGAUGCGGGGGUGCCCGAAAGGGAAUUGGAACACAGGUGCUGCAUGGCUGUCGUCAGCUCGUGUCGUGAGAUGUUGGGUUAAGUCCCGCAACGAGCGCAACCCUUAUCAUUAGUUGCCACGCAAGGGCACUCUAAUGAGACUGCCGG
rnacentral:rRNA from 1 species